rnacentral:rRNA from 1 species
AACGAACGCUGGCGGCAUGCCUAACACAUGCAAGUCGAACGAGACCUUCGGGUCUAGUGGCGCACGGGUGCGUAACGCGUGGGAAUCUGCCCUUGGGUUCGGAAUAACAGUUAGAAAUGACUGCUAAUACCGGAUAAUGUCUUCGGACCAAAGAUUUAUCGCCCAGGGAUGAGCCCGCGUAGGAUUAGCUAGUUGGUGAGGUAAAGGCUCACCAAGGCGACGAUCGGUAGCUGGUCUGAGAGGAUGAUCAGCCACACUGGGACUGAGAUACGGCCCAGACUCCUACGGGAGGCAGCAGUGGGGAAUAUUGGACAAUGGGGCAACCCUGAUCCAGCAAUGCCGCGUGAGUGAUGAAGGCCUUAGGGUUGUUAAAGACUGUUUUGCCAGGGAAGAUGAUGACUGUACCUGGAGAAUAAGCCCCGGCUAACUUCGUGCCAGCAGCCGCGGUAAU